rnacentral:rRNA from 1 species
CCAGACUCCUACGGGAGGCAGCAGUGAGGAAUAUUGGUCAAUGGACGAGAGUCUGAACCAGCCAAGUAGCGUGAAGGAUGACUGCCCUAUGGGUUGUAAACUUCUUUUAUAAAGGAAUAAAACGAGGCACGUGUGCCUUUUUGCAUGUACUUUAUGAAUAAGGAUCGGCUAACUCCGUGCCAGCAGCCGCGGUAAUACGGAGGAUCCGAGCGUUAUCCGGAUUUAUUGGGUUUAAAGGGAGCGUAGGUGGAUUGUUAAGUCAGUUGUGAAAGUUUGCGGCUCAACCGUAAAAUUGCAGUUGAAACUGGCAGUCUUGAGUACAGUAGAGGUGGGCGGAAUUCGUGGUGUAGUGGUGAAAUGCUUAGAUAUCACGAAGAACUCCGAUUGCGAAGGCAGCUCACCGGACUGCAACUGACACUGAGGCUCGAAAGUGUGGGUAUCAAACAGGAUUAGAUACCCGAGUAAU